AUACGUAGGGGGCGAGCGUUGUCCGGAAUGAUUGGGCGUAAAGGGCGCGUAGGCGGCCCGGUAAGUCUGGAGUGAAAGUCCUGCUUUUAAGGUGGGAAUUGCUUUGGAUACUGUCGGGCUUGAGUGCAGGCGAGGUAAGUGGAAUUCCCAGUGUAGCGGUGAAAUGCGUAGAGGUUGGGAGGAACACCAGUGGCGAAGGCGACUUACUGGACUGUAACUGACGCUGAGGCGCGAAAGUGUGGGGAGCAAACAGGAUUAGAUACCCUGGUAGUCCACACUGUAAACGAUGAAUGCUAGGUGUAGGGGGUAUCGACCCCUUCUGUGCCGCAGUUAACAUAAUAAGCAUUCCGCCUGGGGAGUACGGCCGCAAGGUUGAAACUCAAAUGAAUUGACGGGG
rnacentral:rRNA from 1 species